AAAACAUCGCCUUUUGAAUUCUAUAAAAGGUAACGCCUGCCCAGUGACUGCUCGUUAAACGGCCGCGGUACUCUGACCGUGCAAAGGUAGCGUAAUCACUUGUCUUUUAAAUAAGGACUAGUAUGAAUGGCAUCACGAGGACUAAUCUGUCUCCCUCCCCUAAUCAGUGAAACUGAUCCCCCCGUGCAGAAGCGGGGAUGACAUCAUAAGACGAGAAGACCCUGUGGAGCUUCAAAUCAAAAUCAACUACUAUACCCCACCCCAUGAGGACACACUCCCAUAGACUUGACUUAGAUUUUUAGCUGGGGCGGCUGUGGAGAAAAAACCAUCCUCCACGAAAUUCUACUCCAAGGGCUACUGCCCUAAGUAAUAAUAAAUUAAUUUAAUUGACCCAAUUUUUGAUCAACGAACCAAGUUACCCCAGGGAUAACAGCGCAAUCCACUUUUAGAGUCCAUAUCGACAAGUGGGCUUACGACCUCGAUGUUGGAUCAGGGCACCCAAGUGGUGCAGCCGCUACUAAAGGUUCGUUUGUU
rnacentral:rRNA from 1 species